rnacentral:lncRNA from 1 species
AGUAAGAACCCGGGACACCAAGAUCUGAGGAGGGUCCCUGGCUGGCAACACUCCCUGCGUGCCGGGAGGAGUGAAGGGAGAGGACAGCUGAUAACUGGUCUCCGUGGAGCCUUCCGGGCCCUCUUCCUGGCUGCUUCCAGCGCGUCCUUCUCUGUGAUAAGCCGUGACUGUGAACAUGGCUGUGAGUCCUUCUAGAGAACUCGCAAGGCCACCGCCUCCUCCCAGCUUAGCGGCUGACGGCUGCAC